UACGAAGGGUGCAAGCGUUGUCCGGAUUUAUUGGGCGUAAAGAGCUCGUAGGCGGUCUGUCGCGUCGGAUGUGAAAACCCAGGGCUCAACCCUGGGCCUGCAUUCGAUACGGGCAGACUAGAGUAUGGCAGGGGAGACUGGAAUUCCUGGUGUAGCGGUGAAAUGCGCAGAUAUCAGGAGGAACACCGGUGGCGAAGGCGGGUCUCUGGGCCGAUACUGACGCUGAGGAGCGAAAGCGUGGGGAGCGAACAGG
rnacentral:rRNA from 1 species